AUGGUCUCCUCAUCUCUCUUGCUGUUUCUGCUGCUAGCAGCAGUCCCUCGUGUCCACUGUGUUGAACUGACCCAGACUGAUUCUGUGGUCUUAAGGCCUGGUCAGGUUUUGACUCUGUCCUGUAAGAUCUCUGGAUAUUCAUUGACUGACAGCAGCUACUGCACUGACUUCAUACGACAGGCUGCAGGAAAAGCUCUGGAAUGGGUCGGAGAGAUAUGUGGUGAUGGUAGCACAUAUUACAGUGAUAAACUGAAAAGUAGAUAUCAAGUUAGCAGAGACACUUCCAGCAGCACAGUGACUCUACAAGGACAGAAUAUGCAGACUGAGGACACAGCUGUGUAUUACUGCGCCAGAGAGUCACAGUGACACAAACCACAAGCAGCUUUGUUCAAAAACAUCUUGAAUGAAAAGAAUAAGAGAAAGUCCCCAUAUAGGAAUACAAAAAUA